UAGUGGCAGACGGGUGAGUAACAUGUAGGUAUCUUCCCUUUGGUGAGGAAUAACACGAGGAAACUUGUGCUAAUACCUCAUAAGUCUUUACGGAGAAAGCUUUAUGCGCCAAUGGAUGAGCCUGCACUUGAUUAGUUUGUUGGUGGGGUAAUGGCCUACCAAGACUUUGAUCAAUAGCUGAUCUGAGAGGAUGAUCAGCCACAUUGGGACUGAGACACGGCCCAAACUCCUACGGGAGGCAGCAGUAGGGAAUAUUGCACAAUGGAGGAAACUCUGAUGCAGCGAUGCCGCGUGAGUGAAGAAGGCCUUUGGGUUGUAAAGCUCUUUCGUCGGGGAAGAAAAUGACGGUACCCGAAUAAGAAGGUCCGGCUAACUUCGUGCCAGCAGCCGCGGUAAUACGAAGGGACCUAGCGUAGUUCGGAAUUACUGGGCUUAAAGAGUUCGUAGGUGGUUAAAAAAGUUGGUUGUGAAAUCCCGAAGCUUAACUUCGGAACUGCAAUCAAAACUUUUUAGCUAGAGUAUGAUAGAGGAAAGCAGAAUUUCUAGUGUAGAGGUGAAAUUCGUAGAUAUUAGAAAGAAUACCAAUUGCGAAGGCAGCUUUCUGGAUCAUUACUGACGCUGAGGAACGAAAGCAUGGGUAGCGAAGAGGA
rnacentral:rRNA from 1 species